rnacentral:rRNA from 1 species
GCGAACGCUGGCGGCAGGCUUAACACAUGCAAGUCGAGCGGGGCGUAGCAAAUACGUCAGCGGCAGACGGGGUGAGUAACGCGUGGGAACGUACCUUUUGGUUCGGAAACAACACAGGGAAACUUGUGCUAAUACCGGAUAAGCCCUUACGGGGAAAGAUUUAUCGCCGAAAGAUCGGCCCGCGUCUGAUUAGCUAGUGGUAGGGUAAUGGCCUACCAAGGCGACGAUCAGUAGCUGGUCUGAGAGGAUGAUCAGCCACAUGGGACUGAGACACGGCCCAAACUCUACUGGGAGGCAGCAGUGGGGAAUAUUGGACAAUGGGGGCACCCUGAUCCAGCCAUGCCCGCGUGAGUGGAUGAAGGCCCCUAGGGUUGUAAAGCUCUUUUGUGCGGGAAGAUAAUGACGGUACCGCAAGAAUAAGCCCCGGCUAACUUCGUUGCCAGCAGCCGCUGGUUAAUACGAAGGGGGCUAGCGUUGCUCGGAAUCACUGGCGUAAAGGGGUGCGUAGGCGGGUCUUUAAGUCAGGGGUGAAAUCCUGGAGCUCAACUCCAGAAACUGCCUUUUGAUACUGAAGAUCUUGAGUUCGGGAGAGGUGAGUGGAACUGCGAGUGUAGUAGGUGAAAUUCGUAGAUAUUCGCAAAGAACACCAGUGGCGAAGGCGGCUCACUGGCCCGAUACUGACGCUGAGGCACGAAAGCGUGGGGAGCAAACAGGAUUAGAUACCCUGGUAGUCCACGCCGGGUAAACGAUGAAUGCCAGCCGUUAGGUGGGUUUUACUCACUAGUGGCGCAGGCUAACGCUUUAAGCAUUCCGCCCUGGGGAGUACUGGUCGCAAGAUUAAAACUCAAAGGAAUUGACGGGGGCCCGCACAAGCGGUGGGAGCAUGUGGUUUAAUCCGACGCAAACGCGCAGAACCUUACCAGCCCUUGACAUGUCCAGGACCGGUCGCAGAGAUGUCGGACCCUCUCUUCGGAGCCUGGAGCACAGGUGCUGCAUGGGCUGUCGUCAGCUCGUUGUCGUGAGACUGUUGGGUUAAGUCCCGCAAACGAGCGCAACCCCCGUCCUUAUGUUGCCUACACUAUUUAGUUGAGCACUCUAAGGAGACUGCCGGUGGAUAAGCCGCGAGGAAGGUGGGGAUGACGUCAAGUCCUCAUGGCCCUUACGGGCUGGGCUACACACGUGCUACAACUGGCGGUGACAAUGGGAUGCUAAGGGGCGACCCCUUACGCAAAUCUCAAAAAGCCGUCUCAGUUCGGAUUGGGCUCUGCAAACUCGAGCCCAAUGAAGUUGGAAUCGCUAGUAAUCGUGGAUCAGCACGCCACGGUGAAUACGUUCCCGGGCCUUGUACACACCGCCCGUCACACCAUGGGAGUUGGUUUUACCUGAAGACGGUGCGCUAACCCGCAAGGGAGGCAGCCGGCCACGGUAGGGUCAGCGACUGGGGGU